rnacentral:rRNA from 1 species
CUGCGAAUGGCUCAUUAUAUAAGUUAUCGUUUAUUUGAUAGUACCUUACUACUUGGAUAACCGUGGUAAUUCUAGAGCUAAUACAUGCCAAAAAUCCCGACUUCGGAAGGGAUGUAUUUAUUAGAUUAAAAACCAAUGCCCUCUGGGCUCCUUGGUGAUUCAUGAUAACUCUUCGAAUCGCACGGCCUUGCGCCGGCGAUGGUUCAUUCAAAUUUCUUCCCUAUCAACUUUCGAUGUUUGGGUCUUGGCCAAACAUGGUCGCAACGGGUAACGGAGGGUUAGGGCUCGACCCCGGAGAAGGAGCCUGAGAAACGGCUACUACAUCCAAGGAAGGCAGCAGGCGCGCAAAUUACCCAAUCCCGAUUCGGGGAGGUAGUGACAAUAAAUACUGAUACAGGGCUCUUUUGGGUCUUGUAAUUGGAAUGAGUACAAUUUAAAUCCCUUAACGAGGAACAAUUGGAGGGCAAGUCUGGUGCCAGCAGCCGCGGUAAUUCCAGCUCCAAUAGCGUAUAUUAAAGUUGUUGUGGUUAAAAAGCUCGUAGUUGAACCUUGGGCCUGGCUGGCCGGUCCGCCUCACCGCGUGUACUGGUCCGGCCGGGCCUUUCCCUCUGUGGAACCCCAUGCCCUUCACUGGGUGUGGCGGGGAAACAGGACUUUUACUUUGAAAAAAUUAGAGUGCUCCAGGCAGGCCUAUGCUCGAAUACAUUAGCAUGGAAUAAUGAAAUAGGACGCGUGGUUCUAUUUUGUUGGUUUCUAGGACCGCCGUAAUGAUUAAUAGGGACAGUCGGGGGCAUCAGUAUUCAAUUGUCAGAGGUGAAAUUCUUGGAUUUAUUGAAGACUAACUACUGCGAAAGCAUUUGCCAAGGAUGUUUUCAUUAAUCAGGAACGAAAGUUAGGGGAUCGAAGACGAUCAGAUACCGUCGUAGUCUUAACCAUAAACUAUGCCGACUAGGGAUCGGACGAUGUUAUUUUUUGACGCGUUCGGCACCUUACGAGAAAUCAAAGUGCU